UCCGUAGACGGUAAAGUAAGUUCUUUGUUAAAUUCUAAGACCCAAUCUUAGUAGAGCAAUUAAUACUACUUUACUUUGAGUUUAGUACAGAAAAGUAGAAUUUUAUACGAUAGAGGUGAAAUUUGUAGAUAUAUAAAGGAAUGCUUAUAGCGAAGGCAGCUUUUUGGUAUAAACUGACGUUGAGGGACGAAAGCGUGGGUAGCAAACG
rnacentral:rRNA from 1 species